UCCCCUGACAUUUUUGUCCUUUUCCCUGACAUUUUCAGGUUUUCCGUAACUUUUUAAAACUCCGACAUUUCCCGGUUUUCCCAGAAAAAUUCCUUGACUAUUGAGGAUACGCUAGAUGCACAAAAAGACAUUACUUGAAAUAGUGUUCAGAAAAAUGUGUUGUUCGAAACGUUAAACCCAUUCUAGAGAAGAAAUAAACGUUACUGGACAAUUUUUCCUGGACAUUUUCGUCAUUUUCCCUGACGUUUCCAGGCUUUCCGUAACUUUUUAAAAAUUCGACAUUUCCCGGUUGAACGGGAACCGUCAAAACCAAAACCAAAAAAAAUAAAUAAUAAAUAAAAAAAAUAAAAUAUGGCUUUCCCUUGGGGGGUUUCGACGUCCCUCAACUAAAUAAAUAAAAUAAUAAAAAAGGGAAAAGUGUCAAUCAGCGCGAACUGUUAAGCGCGUCAGCGACGUGCCCAGUCCGUGCCGUGAGCCAAGUUGAGAGUCAGUGCGAACUUUUCAGCGCACCUAAAAGAUGUGCCAAGUUCGGGCCGGUAGCUGCUCAAUUGACUCAGUGGAGUCAGGAGUCAGGGUAAGUGAUGUAACACGGGGUAAUGUUGCACACUCGAGAUUUAUUUGACAAAGUGACGUACAUCAGGUGUACCCACUCUGCGGCAAAUAAAUGAGAUUACUGGACAGGCCAGGAGCCUCGAAUUCGGGUGAAGCGCUGGUGGCUCUGAAAACGGGACUAAAGCAGCGGCAGGAGCGGCCGCUGGGAAGACGGGGUCCUCCACUCGGCGGAGGAUGCGCGCGCAUCUGGGGCGCUGGAGUGGGGAUGAUUCAACGAGGGAUGGCCCUGGCCAAGGGAGCCGUCAGGAGACGGAGGGCGAGGGGGGGGGGGGGGGCUACCUAAGAAUAAGUCAAAAUCGCACCGCAGAGUGGUGUACAUACAAAAUUGAAACUAAAUGAAUAUCUUAUGAUUAAAAUUGUAAGUAUCUGAAAGUAUAUAAAUUCUUAAAAUAACGUAAGUAAGUCGAUCAAAACCCAACACCGGUCUUCCGACUGUUGCAGCCCUGACUAUCAGGUUUUCUCAAGCACCAUGAGGUAAAACGCACCAUCUGUCCGUGGAAAUGAAUGGAGGGGGUGGUUCUGAAAAGUCAACUGCUUUCUGUUGUGCUGAAUUCAGUUCCGCAACGCUGGUACC
rnacentral:lncRNA from 1 species